rnacentral:rRNA from 1 species
GAUGAACGCUGGCGGCGUGCCUAAUACAUGCAAGUCGAGCGAACAGACGAGGAGCUUGCUCCUCUGACGUUAGCGGCGGACGGGUGAGUAACACGUGGAUAACCUACCUAUAAGACUGGGAUAACUUCGGGAAACCGGAGCUAAUACCGGAUAAUAUAUUGAACCGCAUGGUUCAAUAGUGAAAGACGGUUUUGCUGUCACUUAUAGAUUGAUCCGCGCCGCAUUAGCUAGUUGGUAAGGUAACGGCUUACCAAGGCAACGAUGCGUAGCCGACCUGAGAGGGUGAUCGGCCACACUGGAACUGAGACACGGUCCAGACUCCUACGGGAGGCAGCAGUAGGGAAUCUUCUGCAAUGGGCGAAAGCCUGACGGAGCAACGCCGCGUGAGUGAUGAAGGUCUUCGGAUCGUAAAACUCUGUUAUUAGGGAAGAACAAAUGUGUAAGUAACUAUGCACGUCUUGACGGUACCUAAUCAGAAAGCCACGGCUAACUACGUG